AUGGAUUCCAUCUUAGCUAACGGUACCUGGGAGAUCACUGACCGUCCUUAUGGGUGCAAACCUGUAGGAUGUAAGUGGGUUUUCAAGAAGAAGCUUAGACCUGAUGGUACGAUUGAAAAGUACAAGGCACGACUCUUGGCCAAGGGUUAUACCCAGAAAGAAGGUGAAGACUUCUUUGAUACUUACUCACCCGUGUCUAGACUGACCACAAUUCGGGUGCUACUAUCACUGGCUGCCUCACAUGGUCUUCUCGUUCAUCAAAUGGACGUUAAGACGGCUUUCCUCAAUGGAGAGUUGAAGGAGGAAAUUUACAUGGAUCAGCCAGAUGGUUUUGUAGUACCUGGUCAGGAAGGAAAGGUGUGCAAGUUAUUAAAGUCUUUAUAUGGCCUUAAACAAGCUCCUAAGGAGUGGCACAAGAAGUUCGAAAGAACAUUAACUGCUGCCGGCUUUGUAGUAAACGAUGGUGACAAGUGCGUGUACUAUCGCUAUGGUGGGGGCGAAGGAGUCAUUCUCUGUCUAUAUGUCGAUGACAUACUGAUCUUUGGAACCAAACUUGAUUUAAUCAAGGAGGUUAAGGAUUUCUUAUCUCGCUGUUUUGAGCUGAAGGAUUUAGGAGUAGCUGAUGUUAUCUUAAACAUCAAGCUGUUGAGAGAUGAGAAUGGUGGGAUCACACUGCUUCAGUCUCACUAUGUGGAAAAGGUCUUCAGUCGUUUUGGGUAUAGCGAUUGCACGCCUUCUCCAACUCCAUAUGAUGCUAGUGUUGCCACGAGGCCUGACAUCUCUUUUGCUGUGAGCAAGCUGAGUCGGUUUGUGUCAAAACCGGGAGAUGAUCAUUGGCAUGCGCUUGAGAGAGUUAUGCGCUAUUUGAAAGGCACCGCGAGCUGUGGGAUUCACUACACCGGGUAUCCAAGGGUACUGGAGGGUUAUAGUGACUCAAACUGGAUAUCUGAUGCUGAUGAGAUUAAGGCCACAAGUGGUUAUGUUUUUAUACUUGGUGGUGGCGCUGUUUCCUGGAAGUCUUGCAAGCAGACCAUCUUAACAAGGUCAACUAUGGAAGCAGAACUCACAGCAUUAGACACUGGCACUGUUGAAGCAGAGUGGCUUCGUGAACUCUUGAUGGACUUACCUAUGGUUGAAAAACCAAUACCCCCUAUCCUGAUGAACUGUGAUAAUCAAACUGUGAUCGUCAAGAUAAACAGUUCGAAGGACAAUAUGAAGUCCUCAAGACAUGUGAAGAGGAGACUAAAAUCUUUCAGAAAAUUGAGAAACUCCAGAGUUAUUACGUUGGAUUAUAUCCAAACGUCGAAAAACUUGGAAGAUCCCUUCACAAAGGGUCUGUCACGUAAUGUGAUAGAUAAUGCAUCAAUGGAGAUGGGUUUGAGACCCACCGCGUGA
rnacentral:rRNA from 1 species